rnacentral:misc_RNA from 1 species
AACGCACAUUGCGCCCCCUGGUAUUCCGGGGGGCAUGCCUGUUCGAGCGUCAUUACAACCCUCAAGCAUUGCUUGGUAUUAGGCUCCGCUGCUCACCCGGCGGGCCUUAAAACCAGUGGCGGUGCCGUCGAGGCCCUGAGCGCAGUAAAUAUCCUCGCUAUAGGGACCCGGCGGACGCUGGCCAUCAACCCCCAACUUUCUAAGUUUGACCUCGGAUCAGGUAGGGAUACCCGCUGAACUUAA